rnacentral:rRNA from 1 species
GGCCCUCCGCCGUUUAAUCACGGGAGGUCGCACCUGCACAAUGGCUUACGGGUUCAAUUGCCGCGGUAUUUUUGACCGUGCAAAGGUAGCGUAAUCAAUAGCCUGCUAAUUGUUGGCCUGUAUGAAUGGUUUGACGCUGGUGGCGCUGUCUCCAUAGUAUUGAUUUGAAAUUAAUUUCUGGGUGAACAAGCCCAGAUGAGCCUGAAAGACGAUUAGACCCUAUCGAACUUUGGGUAGAUCCGCAGUCUGCGGGGUAAGAUGCCUCGGUGCCUGCGGCUAAGCCUUCGGUUGGGGAAACCGGGGACUAGACAAACCGUCCCCCCCCCUUCAUAGUUUUUAAGUGCAAUAACACCCGUUAUGUUGUGGGUAAAAUGGCUUUACCUUCAGGGCAAUAGGCCUACAGGAAAGUGUUUGCUUAAUCUAUCAAAGAGUCCGACAGGACAUAGGUGACUUAUCAAAUGUUCGCGAAGAAACUCCCUUAGGGAGGACAUCUGUCCAUAGGGAAGAGUUACCGUAGGGAUAACAGCGUGAUCCCCCCAGCUAGUACGUAUUAAUGGGUGGGCUUGCGACCUCGAUGUUGGCUUAGGACAUCCUGGGGGAUGCAGCAACUUCCAAGGGUUGGUCUGUUCGACCAUUAAAGUCCUACAU